AGGGGCUCUGUCACAUCAGUGAGUCGAGUCCAGAUCGGUUGUCAAAACCAGAAGAUGCUUUCAAGGUUGGAGACCUUGUUGAUGUUAAACUAAUUGAGAUCAAUAAGAAAGGACAACUUCGAUUAAGCCGAAAAGCACUGCUUCCAGAUCA